UUGGUAGUGGGGAGCCUGGAGCUUUAGGCUGAGGCUGGAGCGAUGGGGGUAAUGGUGACAGGUCCAGAAGGUUAUCCAAGGUGAGGGGUGUAAGGCUGGGUUCCAGGAUAGCAGAUUUCUAGCCAGGUGAGGGGACAAAGAGCAGGGACCGGAGCCAGAGCAGGAGGAUAGGAUGGAGAACAGUAUGAGAUCAGACAACAAGGGCUAAAUUCUAAAUAGCAAACACAAUGAAUGGCUUGAAGUGAAAACUAACUGGUAGCAGAGACUAUGAUCUGGCAGCGUGGAAGGAGUAUAUGAAGAUGCUUGAUGACAGAUAAGGUGCAGCUGAUGAGGCUCUGCUCUGACUCCAGUGCACCUACAGGCAAUCACGCACACAGGAACAACCACUCAGGGAGUGGUAGCAGGUUAGCAGUACCCAGAACUAGAAGUAGAGGGAUUGGUAGAAGCAGUCCGAAAGUGAGAAGGAGCGAGGGCAGGCAGGUUGAGCUCUGGCAAUCCUGAGGCACAGAUAACAAGACUUACUCUGCCAACCACUACACUCCUUUCCCAGCUGUGCUGCACCGGCUGUCCUUCCAAAUAACAGCCGCCUGUGGGUUUCCAUGAUUUAAUGCAGAGGCUGGAAUCCUCAACUACUACAGAUCCUCCAGGACUGGGCAGUGUGUUCCAGGUACAUCCAGAGCUCCAAAGUGAAUGUGACCGUCAGACAGAUGUUGGGGCCCGGACAGAGCUUCCCAGAAACACCGUCUCAACACCACAGGACUGAUGCCGGCCAGACAGACGAGUACCAUGAAGGAUCAGUGGACGGAGAGCGGCCGAAGWGGAAGAGGAGUAGUAGCUGUGACUCUGUUGAUAUUGGAGAGACAUGAAACAGACCAAGGAUUAAUUKUACAUUACAGGCYUUGGAUAAACUUAAUGCUCAUCGGCUGAGUUUGUCUAAUAAGCAGCUUCCACAAGAUCACAUUUUGACAGAGACAAUGUUACGCAGGAAUAUUUUGUUGUAACUGAGCGAGUGGCUAAGAAGCUGAAACCUCAUUCAGGAGGAACAUUUGUGAAGUGUGUA